rnacentral:rRNA from 1 species
AUUGAACGCUGGCGGCAGGCCUAACACAUGCAAGUCGAGCGGAUGACGGGAGCUUGCUCCUUGAUUCAGCGGCGGACGGGUGAGUAAUGCCUAGGAAUCUGCCUGGUAGUGGGGGAUAACGUUCGGAAACGAACGCUAAUACCGCAUACGUCCUACGGGAGAAAGCAGGGGACCUUCGGGCCUUGCGCUAUCAGAUGAGCCUAGGUCGGAUUAGCUAGUUGGUAAGGUAAUGGCUCACCAAGGCGACGAUCCGUAACUGGUCUGAGAGGAUGACCAGUCACACUGGAACUGAGCCACGGUCCAGACUCCUACGGGAGGCAGCAGUGGGGAAUAUUGGACAAUGGGCGAAAGCCUGAUCCAGCCAUGCCGCGUGUGUGAAGAAGGUCUUCGGAUUGUAAAGCACUUUAAGUUGGGAGGAAGGGCAGUUACCUAAUACGUAAUUGUUUUGACGUUACCGACAGAAUAAGCACCGGCUAACUCUGUGCCAGCCGCCGCAGUAACAC